GGGGGUUAAUGGGAAAGCUGGAGAGAUGGGCGCUGGUGGCACUGCUGGUUCAGCAGGAGCUGCAGGGAAGAGAGGAGAACAGGACCUCCUGUAUGAAUGGCUUCCAGGGUCUACCUGGAUCUGCUGGUCCACCUGGAGAGUCUGGGAAACCAGGUGCUGAGG